rnacentral:misc_RNA from 1 species
ACAUGACUGGGCACAUGAUGGAGAGCUUGAUGAUACUGUUGAGGAAGACGAUGAGGUUCGUGAUGAAAAUGAUGGAGAGAAUGAUGAUAACGGAACACCAGAGGAUGAAACAGGUGAAAAUUGAUAACGACAUUGUUGAAUACUUAGUUUGUGUUCAUGGUUUCUUAGCUUCUUCAUCAAUGGAGUAAUUUGGGGAUUUUGAUUAGUUUCUGGAAUCUUGUAAUCUGUUACUCUGUUUCUGCUUCAUUGAUGGAUGAA